rnacentral:rRNA from 1 species
GAUGAACGCUGGCGGCGUGCCUAAUACAUGCAAGUCGAACGAGGUCUUCGGACCUAGUGGCGAAUGGGUGAGUAACACGUUGGUACCUACCCCGAAGUGGGGAAUAACUGCCCGAAAGGGUGGCUAAUACCGCAUAAUACCGCAAGGUUAAAGCAGUAAUGCGCUUCGGGAGGGGCCUGCGUCCCAUUAGCUAGUUGGUAGGGUAAUGGCCUACCAAGACGACGAUGGGUAGCUGGAUCGAGAGGUUGACCAGCCACACUGGGACUGAGAUACGGCCCAGACUCCUACGGGAGGCAGCAGUAAGGAAUCUUCCACAAUGGACGAAAGUCUGAUGGAGCAACGCCGCGUGCAGGAUGACGGCCUUCGGGUUGUAAACUGCUUUUAUGCGGGAAGAUUAUGACGGUACCGUAUGAAUAAGGACCGGCUAACUACGUGCCAGCCGCCGCAGUAA